rnacentral:tRNA from 1 species
GUUUUAAUAGUUUAAAUAAAACACUAUUUUGUGGAAAUAGAGAUAUACAAGGAUUUAAGACA